rnacentral:rRNA from 1 species
AUGAACGCUGGCGGCGUGCCUAAUACAUGCAAGUCGAGCGAACAGACGAGGAGCUUGCUCCUCUGACGUUAGCGGCGGACGGGGGAGUAACACGUGGAUAACCUACCUAUAAGACUGGGAUAACUUCGGGAAACCGGAGCUAAUACCGGAUAAUAUAUUGAACCGCCUGGUUCAAUAGUGAAAGACGGUUUUGCUGUCACUUAUAGAUGGAUCCGCGCCGCAUUAGCUAGUUGGUAAGGUAACGGCUUACCAAGGCAACGAUGCGUAGCCGACCUGAGAGGGUGAUCGGCCACACUGGAACUGAGACACGGUCCAGACUCCUACGGGAGGCAGCAGUAGGGAAUCUUCCGCAAUGGGCGAAAGCCUGACGGAGCAACGCCGCGUGAGUGAUGAAGGUCUUCGGAUCGUAAAACUCUGUUAUUAGGGAAGAACAAAUGUGUAAGUAACUAUGCACGUCUUGACGGUACCUAAUCAGAAAGCCACGGCUAACUACGUG